UACGGAGGGUGCGAGCGUUGUCCGGAAUCACUGGGCGUAAAGGGCGCGUAGGCGGCCUGAUAAGUAGGGGGUGAAAUCCUGCGGCUUAACCGCAGGGCUGCCUUCUAAACUGUCAGGCUGGAGCACAGUAGAGGCAGGUGGAAUUCCCGGUGUAGCGGUGGAAUGCGUAGAGAUCGGGAAGAACAUCAGUGGCGAAGGCGGCCUGCUGGGGCAUUCUUGACGCUGAGGCGCGGAAAGCUGGGGGAGCGAACGGG
rnacentral:rRNA from 1 species